UGUUGUAAAAAUUGUGCAUCUCUAUCUGUAUCCAAAAAAAAGCUCAGAAUAGUAAAUAGUUUUCAUGUGUUCAUAAAAAAGUUGUUAAUUUCAAAGACUUUCAACGGUGUGAAUUUUAUUUUGGUACGUAUUUGUUGAUUCCCUCAUUCUCUAUGCAAUCCAAUCAUGGUUUUGAAAGCAAACCACAAUUGUUGUAACCACAAAGUUAAAGUUUUCAAAAGUUGCAGGCUAUUGUUUAUUAUUAUGAUUUACAAUAACAAACUGACUGAAUGGAGAAUGUACAUCAAGUAAAUUAAGGUUUCUGUACAGCAAAAUUGUUCAACUAGAGAAGUUUUAAUCUUGGUCCUCAAACUUUAUUUUCCACUGUCUAGUCAACAAAUGAUCCCUCUAACUUUUACAAUUUCCUCUGGCCGGAUUAGUAAAGGAUUUAGAAGAGCUAAAAACCAAUAAGUACUGGGAUUUAUCAAGGAAUACAAGGUACAUAAUUAAGCAUUCUGAUACACAUUUUCUCCUAAAAAUGUUACGCAACUAAAGAUAGGUAAUCUUUUUUUUUUUUUUUUUUUUCAGAUGAAGCAGAUAGUUGCUCAAUGCAGUGCGUCUGUUCUUAAAACACAAUGAGAUCAUGGCAGGGAAUCUAAGGGCCAAAUGAAGAUCUGGGACUUGCGAAGUCCUCUUCUCCAACCAAGCAUGACAUUUCUAGUAAGCGGAGAGCCCAUAGCAGCAACUUGUCUAACAGUUCAUCCAUCGCAGAACACAUAGUAUUUGCAGGAGGGGAAGAUGGCUUCAUUACAAUUUGGGAUUUACGCCAAGGCACUUCACCGGUGACCCUCUUGGAAGCCCAUAGCAGCUCAGUGAACGAGUUAAUGUUCCAUCCUGAUCGACCCGAGCAUUUUAUGUCCUGUUCUGCUAAUGGAGAUAUGUGGCAUUGGAACUCAAAGACUUCACUGAAAGAUUCUGUUUUAGAUAAUACCUAUGUUGACAUUCCCUGGCUGAGCAGCACUGCAGUCAAAAAACAAGUCGAAAUCGUUCCCCUGAUGCAAUCGCUACCUCUCCCUGUGAAUUCAUUCGAUUUAUCUAAAAAUAGAUUAAUUUUAGCCAGUGAUAAUGAAGCUAUCUAUAUUCAUAAGAACUUAAGAAUUUAGCCUCAAGUACCCUCUACUUUUUUGUACUGUACAUAGUUUUAAAUCUUUUGAAACCAGGUAUAUCCGAGAAUUGUCAACUUGUUUCAAUCUCAGAGAAUGCAAAGAUUCCACAAAUUUUAUGAAAACAAUUUCAGAUACUUUCAAUCUCAGAAUAUGCAAAAAUUUCACAUUUUAGGAAAACAAUUUCAGAUUUUAGCUGUAUAUAGUCCAUAAUAUCUCAAAGAAGAAACAAAAUUUGGAAGUAUCCUGAGAAAAUUUCAAAAAUAAGAAGAAAAAACCCACUUUUCUACAAAAUUUCUGCAAUAAUGAAGCUGCAUUUAUGAAACUGGAAAGCUUUACUUCUCCAAAGACGUGAAUCUUUGAUUAUUAUUGAAAGUGCAUGAUCCAUCUAUGAAUGAUCCUAUUUUUAAUACUAGAAAUUCAUGGCAAGGUAGACUAGCAGAACGUUCCAGUUUAUUUUCUAUUUUUUCAUCCCAAAACUAAAUUGUUUUGAAGCGAAAAGGACUUUGCAUACUCCCUAUGGGAUUGUGCACCACAAUCGAUUUCCGAUUUCGUUUACCAAUUACCGUUUUCGCAGUAUUUCGCAUAGUCAGUUGAGUGAGUGGUGGAAUUUUCGAUUAUUACUUGUGUAAGUGAAGCUAGCGAGUCAAUAUCUAUCUUUCAGCUCUCGCUGAAAACGAGGAGAACCUGACAGUCUUAUCUCGGAUUCCGUGCGCCUUUUCGUUUCACUGUCCAAAUCAGAUUCCUUCUCUCCCACUCUUUUCCUUACCUAUCUCUGGCUUGGGUUUUUCUUGUUAAAUUGCCGCGCUGGCCUCACUUUCUCAUGUAACUAUCGAAACUUCUGGCGCAGACUGUGCAAAAUACUGCAAAACAGUGCCUCGUAGAAAGUUGGCGCAGUGAUAACUUUUGAUCAGCGUUCAAAAAUUAAUUUAAUGCAAUAAAAAAUUUGGAAAUCGAUUGUGAUGCACAAUUCCAUGAGGCGUGUGUGGGGUCCUUUCGAUCAAUGCAAUUCUCUAUCAUUAAUUUAAUUAUAUAUUUUUGUGAAGCUAAUGUAAAGUAAGAUUUUCAAUUAUGUUUAGUCAAAUGCAUUUAAAAUGCUGAAAAAGAACAAUGCUAAGUCACCUUUAAUAAACCUCAUGUGUUUUCAAAAGAAGUUCCUCCUUUUUUUAAAAAAACCCACUGGGCAUUUUAGAAUGGUCAGCAGGCUCAUCAGAAUUUUGUCAGCACGACCUGACAAGACAACGCCCUAUCCUAACCACGCAAUAUAUGGCAUUUCAAUGUCUUAUCGAGCUGCUUUUAAACUGUCAAAAAUCGGCCUGCAGGGCUCAUCCUUUUUUCAUCAGUAUGACCAUUUAGUUUCAUUUUUAUGACCAACGAUUCUUUUGUCACAGUGCGACAUAUUUUUGCCCUUAGUGUGCUCAGUAGUCUUUCUGUUCUCUAUCCCACUGAAGUUCUGAGAAUUGCAGUCACUUCAGCCAUCAUAAAAUAAGAACUCAGUAUCCGUAAGUGCUGUAGAGAAUGUUGAUACUAUAAGUAUAUGUUCUUUCAGGUAGAAAAAGACGAAACAUAUUUUAUUUUAAUUUUUACAUCGCACACUUGGCAGCAGCAUUGCCAUAUGACGUCGAUAUUACUCUCCCUGGCAACUAAUCAGACUUAAAAAUUCAAGACUCGAACCUGUAAAUGGCAACCUUAAUGGUGAAGAGCAGGUUCAAAACGCUAAUUACACAAUUUUUUUUUUUUUUUGAAUGAAAACAAAUCAGUACCACUCCUUGAAGUUUUCUCAGCUCAAAGAGAGAAGAAUCACGGAAUUUUUCAAAAAUUGACAUCGAGUACUUCUUUAUUUAAAAAAAGUAAACAUGACUGGAGAUCCGCAACAUCGCAAACCGAGA
rnacentral:lncRNA from 1 species